rnacentral:rRNA from 1 species
AUGGCACCGUCAAAAGCACCGGGUGUGGACGGUUUUACCGCGGGCUUCUUUCAGAGGCAUUGGUCUCUGCUUAAAGAAGAUAUCAUCCCGGUGGUGUUGGGUUUUCUCAACGGUGGCGAACUGCCGGAGGGUAUGAAUGACACUGCUAUCGCACUUAUACCCAAGGUACUGCACCCACAAUGCAUCAAUCAGUAUAGACCUAUCUCCCUAUGUUCUGUACUAUACAAAAUUGCAGCAAAAUGCAUUGUCAACAGAAUAAGGGGCUUUCUUGAUGUUAUUGUGAGCGAGGAGCAGAGUGCUUUUGUGCCAGGGCAACUCAUCACGGAUAACGUGUUCAUUGCUCAUGAGAGUGUU